ensembl:lncRNA
GUUGAGUGCAGAUUUUCCCACAAGAGUCAGAUUGUCUCUUUUUGGUAAGAGAGGUGGUUUAACAUUCUUCACUUUUGUUUCACCGCCAUUCUCUUUCAGUUUCACUUGAAGCUCAACCACCCCAAUGGGGUUUUUUAAAUCUAUCUUAUGAUCUCUUUUAGCCAACACUUUCUGCAGAGCUGGGGAAAUGAUAAAAUACCAUCAUUAGAUCUAUGCCCAGAUCCCUGAGAAGAAUGUGACGUUUUUCCAGUAAGGAGAACGAGGGCAGUGAUGACAGCGGUCAGUGCAUCAAGGAAAAAGUGGCAGCACAGAUCCUGAAGAUGGCCAAGUGCACUGUG